UGAAGAUAAGACGGAUUAGCGGCGGACGGGUGAGUAACACGUGAGUAACCUGCCUUUUACACAGGGAUAGCCUCGGGAAACCGGGAUUAAAACCUGAUGAAACUAUCAAAUCACAUGAUUAAGAAAGUUAAAACUCCGGUGGUAAAAGAUGGACUCGCGUCCCAUUAGCUAGUUGGUGAAGGUAACGGCCCACCAAGGCAACGAUGGGUAGCCGGCCUGAGAGGGUGAACGGCCACAUUGGAACUGAGAAACGGUCCAAACUCCUACGGGAGGCAGCAGCC
rnacentral:rRNA from 1 species